rnacentral:rRNA from 1 species
CACGUAGGGGGCAAGCGUUGUCCGGAAUCAUUGGGCGUAAAGCGCGUGUAGGCGGCUCGGUAAGUCCGCUCUGAAAGUCCAGGGCUCAACCCUGGGAUGCGGGUGGAUACUGCCGGGCUCGAGUCCGGAAGAGGCGAGUGGAAUUCCCGGUGUAGCGGUGAAAUGCGCAGAUAUCGGGAGGAACACCAAUGGCGAAGGCAGCUCGCUGGGACGUGACUGACGCUGAGACGCGAAAGCGUGGGGAGCAAACAGG